rnacentral:rRNA from 1 species
CCUACGGGCGGCUGCAGUGGGGAAUAUUGGACAAUGGGGGCAACCCUGAUCCAGCCAUGCCGCGUGUGUGAAGAAGGCCCUCGGGUUGUAAAGCACUUUCAGUGAGGAAGAACGCCUGGUGGUUAAUACCCAUCAGGAAAGACAUCACUCACAGAAGAAGCACCGGCUAACUCCGUGCCAGCAGCCGCGGUAAUACGGAGGGUGCGAGCGUUAAUCGGAAUUACUGGGCGUAAAGCGCGCGUAGGUGGCUUGAUAAGCCGGUUGUGAAAGCCCCGGGCUCAACCUGGGAACGGCAUCCGGAACUGUCAAGCUAGAGUGCAGGAGAGGAAGGUGGAAUUCCCGGUGUAGCGGUGAAAUGCGUAGAGAUCGGGAAGAAUACCAGUGGCGAAGGCGGCCUUCUGGACUGACACUGACACUGAGGUGCGAAAGCGUGGGUAGCAAACAGGAUUAGAUACCCGUGUAGUC